UGCGCUGGCUGCUUUCCUGGACCCUGCGUGGGGCACCCCUUCCCCUGGACCCUGAGCCGUGCACCUCUUCCUGUGGCUGACUCCAGUGCGUGUCCCUUCCAUGUAAUACACGGGAUCCGUCAUUACAGAGCACUGAGUAGAGUUCCCUGUGCUAUACAAUGAAGAAAGUUUGGGAGGCUCUCAUUUACAAGCUGACCUCGGAGAUAUUAUAGGUUCACUGCAAUCAAGUAACUAUCGCAAUAAAGCAAGUCUCACGAACGUUUUUGGUUCUCGGUGCAUCUAAAAGUGACGUGCCCACUAGAUUGUAGUCUGAUUAAGUGUGCGAUAUCAUUAUGUCUAAAAAAGGCAACGUACCUUCAUGACAAAGUAUUUUAUGGCUAAAAAACGCUAACCAUCCUCCAAGCCUUCAGCAAGUUGUAGCACUAACUUCAAAGCUCACUGAUCGCAGAUGAUUAUAACUAACAUAAUCAUAGUGGAAAAGUUUGAAAUACUGGAAGAAUUACCAAAAUGUGACCCAGAGACAUGAUGUGAGCAAAUGCUUUUGGAAAAAUGGCACUGAUCGACUUGCCCAAUGCAGGGUAGCCACAAAACCUCAAUUUGUAAAACAAAAAAUAAAAAAUAAAUAAAAAUGCAAUAUCUGUGAACACAAUAAAAUGAGAUAUGCCUGU